rnacentral:rRNA from 1 species
UACGUAGGGCGCAAGCGUUGUCCGGAAUUAUUGGGCGUAAAGAGCUCGUAGGCGGUCUGUCGCGUCCGUUGUGAAAACUCGAGGCUCAACCUCGGGCUUGCAGUGGAUACGGGCAGACUAGAGUGCGGUAGGGGAGACUGGAAUUCCUGGUGUAGCGGUGAAAUGCGCAGAUAUCAGGAGGAACACCGGUGGCGAAGGCGGGUCUCUGGGCCGUAACUGACGCUGAGGAGCGAAAGCGUGGGGAGCGAACAGG